UAUAAAUAUUUUUGUUAACAAUUACACUAGUUUUUUUUCAUUCAAUUGUUUUUUCCGCCUGUAUAAAUAUCUCUCAGUAUUAUACAAACAGUUGGCAUACUAUGAAAAACUCGUGACGGUGCGCUGUUGUUUUGACAAUUGUAAAGUACACGGAGAAAUGAUCACAACACUACUAGCUUAUCAGUAAAGUAAAAUGCUAGUACUACAGUUAAAUAAUUGACUAUAAAAUCCCUACCGAAAAGAAAUUGAGGACUUGUGUCUAUGUGGAAAUUAAUAUCACUAUCAUUUCAGAAAGUGGUUGAUGAACAAAAUGCCUUAUUGUAUUUAGCUGGGUGAACUUUAGGUUCUAUGUUCAAAUCACCCCAAGAUCUUUGCAGCUUCUCAGAAAUCAACAUUAUGGUAUCAAGGUAACGCAAAAGCUCAAACUAUCACACGGUGAUUACUAUUUUCUUUAAGUUGGUGCGAUACUUUUAUAGCAGCUGAAUGAGUUUCUCUGAAGGGGAAUUAGUAUCAAGGAAGGAAAACGAUCGAUCGGUUGAAAACCCUGAUCAGUCCAUCCUGAACAGGAUUUUUUUUUCUUUUAAUGGGGGUGGGGUGAUCUGGAAGAAGAGACUCUGCCAAGGCUUCCUCAGACCUUCGAAAUCAACAGUUCCAUUCUUGUACCACACUGUUUAAUGAAUUUAGAAAUAGGAAGAAAUUUCCGUGUUCACGUAUUAUUUAAAGAUGUAGAAAGAAAUUAUCAUAGCAAAAUAAUAAAAGAAUUUUUUUCAUAUUACUGUUAACCGACUCGCACACAUUUACCCAAGGGAAAAAUCAGCUGUUGUAUAUCGAAUGGAUCAAGUAAAGAACUUACCUUGAAUUUAUGCUAUUUUCUUAAAAUCGGAGCUUGUAACCUGUCAGUCACGUUAGGCCUUAGAAGGAAGUAGAGACAUGGACCAAAAUAGUAUUCCUCCAUGGCUGUUUGAUGGCAAUAAUACUGCAUUUGUGAUUUUCCAUCAAACAAACUAUAAAGUUACAAACUGUAAAGUAAAAAUAAAAACCGAAAAAAAA